rnacentral:lncRNA from 1 species
CUGGGGCUGGGGUGGAGGGCACGGCCCCCCGGGGUACACAGGACGGGGCUCUGCAGUGCUUCCCUGUGGGCUGGGAGCUGGGGGUGGACAGGGUGGAGGAGGGGCUUCACACUUGCCUCAUCCCGGGCUGCUGGAAGGUUCCAGGUUCGAGGCUCCUGGGGGGCAGGAGUGGGGCAGUCUGGACCCUGCCCGCCCCUUUGGGAAGCUGGGCUUGGUCCCUGCAUGUCUGACUGUCCCUGCGCCUCGGCCUCUCACCCUGACACAGUAGACAAGCCCGUGGCUCAAAUCUUGCCACAGUCCUUAGGCAAACGACGUUCCCGGAGCCGUCUUCACCUGCAAAGUGAACAAUAAGCGCUUUGAGACUAACCGCCUCGGCUCACAGGAAGACGCUCCACCCGCACAGGCGUGCACAGGUGCUGGCCCUGCAGCUGGGGGGCCCUGUGUGUCUCCCCUCCCCCACGCUGGUCUCAGUGGCUUCGCUCUAGGCCCAUCUCCCCCCACCCCAGUGGGGCUCUCCACCCUCACGGACCCCUGUCCCUGGCCCCUGAGGGCUGAGGCACCUGGGGCCCUGCCUGACCUCUGUCUUCCGCCCCCUAGGCUUGAGCAGCACUGCUUCCUGCCACUCUGUCCCCAGAACACCUCCCUGAAGUCCCUGUCCUCUCUUUCCCCUUAUCCUGGCCUGGUCUCUGUUGGUGCCCUCCCAACCCUGGUGUAGUCUUGGAGGUUUCCAGACCUCAGUGGGAGCCAUGGGGUGGUGGGUGGUGGUGUGGGAGGGACAGUGAUCAGAGGGAAGGGUGACUGUGAGGGUCUCGUGCUGUCAUGACGUCUCAGCCUACAGUGACCCAGAACCAGCUCUGCCCCCUCUCCGCCCCCAGCCCAGCUGUGGUCGCACAGGAGGGGUGUUGCGGGGGCGGGGGGCUCAGUUCCCUGCUGUCUGGAUGGUGCCCCUCUCACUGGCCACAGUGAGAUUGGAGCAGGCACAUGCAGGACUCAGAGGGGGGCCUGGUGUGUGGCGCGAGCCUGGACGCGGCUCUGGCUGGGCGGUGGCUCUUUUCACUGUCUAACCUCACAGAUGAGGCUCAAGUGUCUGUGGCCACGUCCCCAGCACCUCCCCAGCCCCCGAAUGGGCCACUCAAAGCGACUUGUGUGCAGACCUGGCUGGGCAGGCCGAGGGAGGGACAGGUGGAGGCCGCGUGGACACAGGAGCCCCCGCACACAGGUGAGCAGCAGGACUGACCACGGGUGGAGGGACAGUGAAUCGACUCCAGAGACCUGCAGUGAGAAGAGAAGGCACAGGUCCCAGGGGUGGCAGACAAAGACCUUGCUGCGCAGACCCGGCCGACACAGACUGGGGCUCACAGGGGACCCUGAGGGGCUGCACCGGGAGCAGGCCAGCUGCGGCGCCUGGCAAAUGGCCUCAGGGGCUGGGAGGAGAGGGAGGCAGAGAUGGAGACCCCCAGAGGGCAGGGGCGUCCUGGAAAGAGGC